rnacentral:misc_RNA from 1 species
AACUUUUGGCAAUGGAUUUCUUGGCUCACACAUCGAUGAAGAACGCAGCGAAACGCGAUAGGUAAUGUGAAUUGCAGAAUUCAGUGAAUCAUCGAAUCUUUGAACGCAUCUUGCGCUUGCUGGUAUUCCGGCAAGCAUGCCUGUUUGAGUGUCAUGAAAUAUAUCAACCACGACUUGGGUUUAGGCCCUCGGCUUGGCUUGGAUUUGGGUGCUUGCGGCCUCGCGCCGCUCACCUCAAAAGGAUUAGCUGGACAUGUCGGGAGACUCGGUUCCACUUGGCGUAAUAAGUAUUUCGCUGAGGACGCCCGCUUCGGUGGGUGGCCGGGACUCUGGGCUGACGUCCGCUCUCUAACUCGAUAGCUCUGCUCCGGCGGACAUCACUUUUUAUGAUCUGGCCUCAAAUCAGGUAGGACUACCCGCUGAACUUAAGCAUAUCAAUAAGCGGAGGCU